rnacentral:rRNA from 1 species
CCUACGGGUGGCUGCAGUGGGGGAUAUUGCACAAUGGGGGAAACCCUGAUGCAGCGACGCCGCGUGUGGGAAGACGGUCUUCUGGCUUGUAAACCACUGUCUCCAGGGACGAAAAUGACGGUACCUGGGGAGGAAGCUCCGGCAAACUACGUACCAGCAGCCGCGGUAAUACGUAGGGAGCAAGCGUUGUCCGGAAUUACUGGGUGUAAAGGGAGCGUAGGCGGGGAUGCAAGUGGGGUGUCAAAACUACCGGCUCAACCGAUAGUCGCCCUUAAAACUGCAACGCUUGAGUGAAGUAGAGGCAGGCGGAAUGCCUAGUGUAGCGGUGAAAUGCGUAGAUAUUAGGAGGAACACCAGUGGCGAAGGCGGCCUGCUGGGCUUUUACUGACGCUGAGGCUCGAAAGUGUGGGGAGCAAACAGGAUUAGAUACCCCAGUAGUC